CAGCCUGGGAGACGUCGCGCCUUCGCCGCCGCAGCCGAACGCCUUCGCCGCCGCAGCAGAAUGUCGUCGCCAUCACCACAGAACGCCAUCACCGCAGAACGCCAUCCCCAUCGCUGCAGAACGCCAUCGCCAUCGCCAUCGAAGCCUCCCAAUCGCUCUGCCUCACGCCAUCUCUGUCGUCUCUUACCUCUCAGCCUCCCAAUCGCUCUGCCUCUGUCGCUCUGUGACUUUCAGGAUAAGCCAGGAAAUCAUUUAGAUAGACAUCGCUUAGAUUCUAAAGGCCAACGUGAAGGGAAGCUUAUAGCUAUGGAUUACAGGAGAUAAAGCCAAUUGGUAAAAGGCUGGCAAACCUAGAGGAUUGCUUUCUAACAGUUGGAUCGGUGCACCCUGAGGAUUUGUUUGUGUUCCUUCUCAAUCCUCUUCCUUUAAAGCAGCUUAUAGAGGAAUUAAGUGCCUCAAAACGGUUUGAAGAUGAUGAAAUACAUAUACUCUUCACUUACAUUAUGUAUAUUCCUCCCCCUAAGUGGUUAUACUUGUCCCAACAAGAGAGUUAGCACUUCAAAGAUCUCAAGUUUGUAAGGGCAUUAGGCAAGCACUUGAAGAUACAGGUAAUGGUCAGUACAGGAGGAACAAGUUUGAAAGAUGAUAUCAUGCGUUUGUAUCAACCCGUCCAUUCUUCUCUUUUGUAGCUUUCAAUUAUUUUUAGUUUGGAACUAUAAAUUUGUAGUUUAGAGUAAAGUACCGUAAACCGUAAAAUUGUAAAGUGUUUGUAUUUUUCAUAGUGUUUGUAUUGGGAGUUACAAUGUUACAGUGUAAAAAGGAAUAUUAUUUUUUUUGUUU